UUCCUUAUUUUUUCAGCUAUUUUUUUUUUCCUUAUUCUUCUUCUUUUUGGCAGAACUUCUUCUCAAUUUUGGCUGAAAAUUCAAGUUCCCCGCUAAAGUUUUCCUUCCCGCGGCCUCAAAUGUCUAGUGCCCCUAAAAUUCUAGAGCCCCCUCAACUCACGGUACUGCUAUACGAAUAAGUGCGCGCUGAAGGCAGAAAACGGUUCUCUCUCAGGUCUCUUUCAUGGAGAAACUCACGGACUACUAGCUCUGAACCUCCCAUCCAUGACUGCCCAAGGGUUUGCCUCAACCAAACUCCCAAGGUAACUCGAACCACUAUCACCGUCUCGAUGUCUAUACNNNNNNNNNNNNNNNNNNNNGGGAGAGGGAGAGGGAGAGGGCGGCGACCGGGAGAGGGAGCGGAGGCGGAGGAGGGGAAAUUCGGAGAGGGAGAGGAGGCGGAGGCUAGGGCUUUCAACCAGUCGAGCGCUGGGUUAUACCCGAAAACUUUAGCCGACAAAAUUAUUAUUUUGUCGACUAAAGAUAAUAAUUUCGUCGGCUAAAAUAAUAAUCUCAUCGGCUAAGAUAAAAUUCGUCGGCUAAACCUUUGAAAUUCGUCGGCUAAACCUAUGAUAUUCGUCGGCUAAACAAUAAAUUCCUCGGCUAAACCUUUAAAAUUCGUCAGCUAUAGUACUUUUUAUACAUUCGUCAAACUGUGCUUGUGAUUGUGAUGAUCAUAUUUGAGAAACGAAAAUCCGACCGUCAGAUCUGACCAUCAUGAUAAAAUACAAGUAUGGGAAAACACUUGAACUUGAUCCGACAAGGUGAAGGGCUCGAUCCGGACGGUCAAUCCAUUAAGUCAAACCCCUAAACGCACGGAAAAGGUCAUUGGACUGUCUAAAUUACGUAUUUUGGCCGGACCUUCAACUAAAAAUAGUUUCAAACCGAUGAGACGCAACAAGUCGUAUAAAAAUUUUACGCAAAAUAACCACCGAAGAUACGGCUACUCAUAGGGAGAAAGAAUAAAAAAUUCCAUUAACCGCAACUAUCGGCCUCUCUUCUUUACCGGAAUACUGUGAUUUUUCAACCAUAGAUGUAUUUCGCCAUUCUGGUCAUAUCUUAUUUCACGACUUUUUUUGCGUUUGAAGGUUUUACGUAUAGUUUGUUUUUGAAACAGAACAUUUACUUAAUACUUGGUAAAUAAGUUAUACAACAUUAGUAGGUAUGUUGUGGUUAUGAUGAUCAAACUUGAGAAACGGAAAUCCGACUGUCAGAUCUGACAAUCAUGAUAAAAUACAUGUAUGGGAAAAAAUGCAACUUGAUCCGACAAGGUUAAGUGCUCGAUCCGGACGGUCAAUCCCGUAAGUUAAACCCCUAAAUGUACGGAAAAGGUCGUUGGACCGUCUAAAUUUGGUAUUUUGGCCGGACUUUCAACUGAAAAUAUUUUCAAAUCGAUGAGACGCAACAAGUCGUAUAAAAAUUUUACGCAAAAUAACCACCGAAGAUAGGGCUACAGUAUGUAACAGAAAAAGUUUAGGGUUUAGCCGACGAAUACCCUAAUACAUUCGUCGGCUAUAGUAUGUAAUAAAAAAUAAAAAAAAGUAAUAAAGCCGACGAAAUAGUAGGGUAUUCGUCGGCUAAGAUGGUUUUAGCCGACGACUUCUAAUAUACUUCGUCGGCUAAGAUGGUUUUAGCCGACGACUUAUAAUUGACUUCGUCGGCUAAGAUGGUUUUAGCCGACGACUUCUAAUAUACUUCUUCGGCUAAGAUUGUUUUAGCCGACGACUUCUAAUAUAAUUCGUCAGCUAAGAUUGUUUUAGCCGACGACUCAUAAUGUAAUUCGUCUGCUAAUAUGGUUUUAGCCGACGACUUCUAUUAUAAUUCGUCGGCUAAGGUGGUUUAGCCCGACCAAUUAAUGCGUAUUUCGUCAGCUUAAGUAAAAAAAUACAAACCCUAAAACAGAAAGUUUAAACCAUACUAAUUUCCUGUUCAUAUAUCACCAAAAUUCAUAUAAAAUAAUAGAAAUAUGAAUUCAACAUAUGUAAACUAUAAAUUAAGGUAAUACAAUCUUUUUUAUUAUAAAUUAAUGUAUUACGUCCUCUAAAUUAAAACUAAGGUUCGUAAUCGGAAUCAUCCGAUGAGUCUUCUUCGGUGUCAGAAUUAAUUUCUGGUAAUCUAUGCCUUUCCUCAUCGCCAGAGUCUUCGUCUGUUUCUUGAUUUGGAUCAACAUCAAUAAGCCUUGGCUCUUCAUCAUGAAUUCGCACCGAAGAGGCGAACGGUAGAGGAGUUAGGAAUACCUAUUGCGUUGGUCUCUUGAUACGCAACAUCUUCUUCCUGGUCUUCGGCCUCUCCAAGUGUAGCCGCACGGUAAAUGUUUCGAGGGUGCACAAGGUUGACUACUUUCCACGCGUCACCCUUAGCAAGGUCAUCAAGAUAAAACACUUGUUUUACCGAUGUGGCAAAAACGAACGGGUCAUCUUCGUAAGAACUUGUAGCAGUGUUCACCGAUAAUAUUCCGUACUGAUCGGUCUUCAUGCUCUGCGGGCUAGUAUCAAACCAUCUACACUUGAAGAGGUGCAUUGUCAUGCCUUCACCGUAAACGAGUUCCACCACUGAAUGGAGAACACCGUAAUAGUCAACUCCAUUCCGCCCACCAUGCGCCAUCACCCCAGAAUUUUGUGUUCUCCGUCUGCUGUCUUUCUGUUUACAUAUAAAUUGCACGCCAUUCACCUUACACAUCGGAUAAACUCUUAACAUUAUCGGCUUCAUCGCUAGAAGUCUUAGCUCGUGCGACCAAUUUGGGUGACCAUCAAAUUGAAUAUGGUUCAUCUGCAACCAACCAUUCAACAUUGUAAAUAUGGAUAAUUAUGCAAUAAACAUAAAUACGUACAUAAAUAUUGAAUUACGUACCCAGCCGCCAAAAUAGUUUGCGAAAUCCCUGUUGUGGUACUCGAGAUCACCAUGAAUGUCUGGACAAUAUAGAUGGAUGUCUUUCCAGUAUUCAACUUCUGGACAGUUAAUCAAUACCCACCAGUGGCCAAUGACUAGCUCAUGUGGUUGCAACUUGUAAGAGUCUGGCAUAAACUUCAACAUCACUAGAGAGUAUGGAAAGAUUGAACUUCGGUACAUCUACCGGUAUGGCUUCGUCUGUUUCCUUCAAUGCUCCUAAAUACAACUUUAUGUAGGUGACGCACUCGUGCGCAAUAUAUGCUUCACCUAUACAUCCUUCAGGCGCGGAUUUAUUAGCCACAUAAUCUUUGUAGUCUCCAAGUUGCCUAUAAAUCAAGUUGCAAAGUGUUAUGAUUAUUCAACAUGUAUAUAUAUAUUGAGGAAUUCAGGUGUAAAAAACGUACCUUUCCAUGGGAUACAUCCAAGUGUAGUGUACUGGACCGGUAAGCAACAAUUGCUCGGGAAGAUGGAUCAUCAGGUGAGGCAUGAUGUCAAAAAAAUUUGGAGAAAAUAUCCUCUCAAAAUUUACACAUGAUAUAAAUGAUGUCCUCUUGCAUUUCCCAGAGGUUAGAUUUUUUCACUUCCCGUGUGCAUANNNNNNNNNNNNNNNNNNNNGAUUCUUUUAUUUUAUGGUUCAAUCAGAAAGGAUUAAGAGUGAGAAACAGUGGGAGUGAAUUAUUUCACUUAUCUUCUAUAUAUUGGAAGUCUUCAGUUUGCAUGAUAGAAAAGGAAUUUCUUUGGGUAUCUUGCUUCUGUAAGAAUAAGAAAAAUUCAGUCCUGAUCUUAUUCUGCAGCAAAUAAACAUUUAAAUGUAUCUUGAAUAAGUGAUGUUGUUUGGCUCAGUAAAGAGUAUUUGAGUUUUAGUUUAAGGUUUCUGCAUGAUAAGGAUAUUUAUUUAUUAAGUAGACUGGUGAUUUGUGAUUUCUAACAUGAGGUCUGAACAACUUUUCAAGUUUUGUUAUAUAUGCACUUGAUGAAAAUUACAGAGACCGUCUGAUGAUCAAUGCUAAAUUCUAUGUCGUGUGAAGAGAAUUCAUGGUUUGAAUUGUCUUAAUUGGUCUGGGUGUAUGAUUUAUUGUGAUACAUUAUGAAUUGUGAACUUUAAUAGUUCCAUAGAAAAUGGUUUUAACAUGCUUAGGCAGCGUAUGCAUGUCUAGUUUUGUUGUGUUAUUCAAGUAUAAGCUAUAACGUAUUUUUUGUGUUACAGCUUGGUUCCUCAAACUCCCCUACAACUGCACCAAUCUCAAAAUCUGCUCAUGGAGAUUACGAAGCACGCGCACCUUGAUCUCUGGCUGCUAGCAAUACAGAAUGUUCUCGGAGAAACUUUAUUCUAUCAAUAUGUAGCAACAUAACCUCUAAAUUCAGUUCUUGCUUAUGGAUGUUAUAGUUGAUGCUUUUUCCACAUGUAUAAACAAUGUAGUUGAAUUGAGUUUGAUUUUUAUGAAUCUUCUUAGUCUAUGUUUUGCUCAAUGUUUCAGAAUCCAAGAAAAUUAUAAUAAUUAAAAUUGAAUUGGUGGGAAAAAUAAUUAAAAUUAAAUGUAAUUUUUGAUAAUAAAAAAAUCAAAUGUAAUUACAUUUAUAGAAAAUAUUUAUUUCGACGACAUUGUUGGUCGAAAAUCGUAGAAAAAAAAUUACUGACAACAACUACAAUUGGGAACAAUUCGUCGGGAAAAAGUUUUUCGACAAGGAGAUUUGUCGAAACUAAGUCGUCGGAAAUUUAUUUUCCGACAAAUAUAUGGUCGAAACUAACCCGUCAAAACUAGAACUAUUCCCGACGAGCUACCGACGACUUAUUUUUGGACGAAACAAAUAAUAAGUUCCGACCAAUUUCCGACAGGUAUUUUCGUCAGAAAUAAGGAAGAAUUUCCGACGAUUCGUCAGAAAGAUAGUAUUUCCCACGGGAGUAUUAACGACGCCUUCGGACGAGAAAUAUUUCGUUGGAAACAGCAUUCUCAACGAGAAAACGGCUUUUACCGACAAUUUCCAUUGUCUGAAAUUACAAUGUGUGUUGUAGUGAAAAUGCUUCGAUGCAACAAGGGAGUUGAGAACCGUAAAAAAAACAAGGGAGUUGAGAACCGUCAAUGUCUUCAAAGAGUUGGAGCCCCACGUGUUUGGAAGAACAAGUAAAAUUGCAACCUGCACACGCAAUAGAAAUUCUUAAAAUAAGUUUUAGCAAGAAAUAUGUGUGUCGGUGAGUUGUGGUUUAGUUAGUUAGGUAGAUUAACCAACAACAAACUGAAAAUUAUUGAAUUUAUUCCAGCUGAAGGCUUCUCGAUCUUACUUGUGGAACAGGAAGAACACACACCGCUAGCCCCAGUAGUUUCCCAAGGGCAGGGGACUUCCCCCAGCCAUCUUUGAUGCGAACAUAUAUUCUGAUUAGGUAACGAGAAUCUCCCACAGAUCGGAAAACUCUCUUGUCCAAUGUAAGACGCUUGGUCUCCUCGUUGAUAAGAGGAACAUACAGAAACAGAACAUCCAGUAACAGAUACAACAUAGAUGAUAGGAAAAAUAUUCCAUCACGACUGGAAUUAUCCAGUAGUAUUUGUCAGGGUGGAAUUAUUAUUGCACAGACUGUUAGAUGUAACCCAACUGAAACAUGGUGCUUUGGUAAUUCUCUGACCAAUUAAGAAACAACAAACAUGUUCUAAAGUCAUAUGGAGAAGUAUGAUCAAAAUAAGAAAAAGAAACUUCCGUUAGUAGAGGAUCACUGAAGGAACCAAUUACCUUUCACGUUCUCUUUGUUUCUGUUUUUCAUCACGGUCUCUUCCGGCCAUAAUUUGGAUGCUUCCUAGCUUAUACCACAAAGUUCUCAAUGUCG
rnacentral:lncRNA from 1 species